rnacentral:rRNA from 1 species
UACGGAGGAUCCGAGCGUUAUCCGGAUUUAUUGGGUUUAAAGGGAGCGUAGGUGGAUUGUUAAGUCAGUUGUGAAAGUUUGCGGCUCAACCGUAAAAUUGCAGUUGAAACUGGCAGUCUUGAGUACAGUAGAGGUGGGCGGAAUUCGUGGUGUAGCGGUGAAAUGCAUAGAUAUCACGCAGAACCCCGAUUGCGAAGGCAGCCUGCCAAGCCAUGACUGACGCUGAUGCACGAAAGCGUGGGGAUCGAACAGG